CCUACGGGAGGCAGCAGUGAGGAAUAUUGGUCAAUGGACGAGAGUCUGAACCAGCCAAGCAGCGUGAAGGAUGACUGCCCUAUGGGUUGUAAACUUCUUUUAUAUGGGAAUAAAACAGGGUAUGCAUACCCUCUUGUAUGUACCAUAUGAAUAAGGAUCGGCUAUCUCCGUGCCAGCAGCCGCGGUAAUACGGAGGAUCCGAGCGUUAUCCGGAUUUAUUGGGUUUAAAGGGAGCGUAGGUGGAUUGUUAAGUCAGUUGUGAAAGUUUGCGGCUCAACCGUAAAAUUGCAGUUGAAACUGGAAGUCUGGAGUACAGUAGAGGUAGGCGGAAUUCGUGGUGUAGCGGUGAAAUGCUUAGAUAUUACGAAGAACACCGAUUGCGAAGGCAGCUCACUGGACUGCAACUGACACUGAUGCUCGAAAGUGUGGGGAUCAAACAGGAUUAGAUACCCGAGUAGUC
rnacentral:rRNA from 1 species